UAGCAAGCCAAAGCCGAACCAGACUGUAUCAAUCACAUACUUUGGGUCCAUUCUAACUUAUGGGUUAACUGGCUCCAAAUGGCCGGGGAUGCUAGAUUGGAAGUGAAGGGCGUGCUCCUGGGCGAGAGCUAGACGGAGAGAGUGGGUGCGAAAGAGAGAAAAAGCGGCCCUAAUGCGGCAUCUCAUUACAACCUCUGUCAGGAUCCCUGUAUUCCACCAUCAGCUCCCCUUUAACUUGGUCCUGCUCUGGUGUCGGUCGACAGGUCGUCCUGGCAGGUUCGGUGGCCUUCUGCUUCCUUCUCCCAGGGUUCUGCCAUAACUUCUACUUUGAAUGGUCCAGGAUAGCUUUUGAUUUAUCAUCCACUCUCUGCAUCCCUGGCUGCAACCAGACUGUCCGCACAAGCUAGAUGAGGCCCCCUGUGCCAUGUUUGUGCAAGAGGAACCACUUUAUAUGCAGACGGACUCUAGAGGCAGUAAGUGGGGUUCAGCCUUUGUGGCUGAAGACUGUUUUAUUUUAUUGCGCACAGAUUCCUGAUUACCCCACUGUCACAUGGAUCAGCUGCAGGGCAACAAUAAAGGACCAUCUUGCCGCAUCAUGUCAACCUGACCUUGGUGUGCUCAAAGGAAACGUCUAUUCCAGGGCCCAACAGUGAUAUCACUAGAGGCGGUACUGGCAGUGUCUAGCCCUCUUCAGUGAAAGCGUGGAACCCACUGUCUGUCUAGUGUAACAUAACUGUGUGCCCUGAUAUGUUACCAAUGCAAAGCUGUUUGCAAUUAUACAGAAUGCUCCAACAUUACGUGACAGUCACUCUGAUCUGUGUACAGCAGAGGGAACUUUAAUUUAUUUUAAGAACCUAGUUGCUCUUAUUCACAUGUGUAGUGUUGUUUUGUUAUACCCAAUCACUUUUAGUCUAACUUCGAAUUUGUGUCCUUUGAUUAUGUACUUUGCAUUAUAAUCAGUCAAUUUCUUUAAAUAGAAAAUGAGAUUCACCUGUGUGGACGCUGAUUAUAUUGACGCAUCAAUACUAAUACAAACAAUAUUCGAUACCAAGAGAUUCUCAAAAGGGCUGGCCUA